rnacentral:rRNA from 1 species
GUCCACGCCGUAAACGAUGUCAACUAGCCGUUGGAGAUCUUAGUAUCUUUAGUGGCGUAGCUAACGCGCUAAGUUGACCGCCUGGGGAGUACGGUCGCAAGAUUAAAACUCAAAUGAAUUGACGGGGGCCCGCACAAGCGGUGGAGCAUGUGGUUUAAUUCGACGCAACGCGAAGAACCUUACCUGGUCUUGACAUCCUACGAACUUUCCAGAGAUGGAUUGGUGCCUUCGGGAACGUAGUGA